GACGAACGCUGGCGGCGUGCUUAACACAUGCAAGUCGAGCGGUAAGGCCCUUUCGGGGGUACACGAGCGGCGAACGGGUGAGUAACACGUGGGUGACCUGCCCUCAGCUCUGGGAUAAGCCUGGGAAACCGGGUCUAAUACCGGAUAUGACUCCAUGACGCAUGUUGUGGGGUGGAAAGCCUUGUGCGGCUGAGGAUGGGCCCGCGGCCUAUCAGCUUGUUGGUGGGGUGAUGGCCUACCAAGGCGACGACGGGUAGCCGGCCUGAGAGGGCGACCGGCCACACUGGGACUGAGACACGGCCCAGACUCCUACGGGAGGCAGCAGGUGGGGAAUCUUGCGCAAUGGGCGAAAGCCUGACGCAGCGACGCCGCGU
rnacentral:rRNA from 1 species